rnacentral:rRNA from 1 species
CUACGAAGGGGGCUAGCGUUGUUCGGAAUCACUGGGCGUAAAGCGCGCGCAGGCGGCUAUUUAAGUUGGAUGUGAAAGCCUACGGCUCAACCGUAGAACUGCAUCCAAAACUAUUUAGCUAGAGUGUGGGAGAGGAAGAUGGAAUUAGUUGUGUAGGGGUAAAAUCCGUAGAGAUAACUAGGAAUACCAAAAGCGAAGGCAAUCUUCUGGAACACUACUGACGCUGAGGAGCGAAAGCGUGGGGAGCAAACAGGAUUAGAAACCCUAGUAGUCC